AGUACUCGUGGAUUCAAAUUGGGUUGUACGUGGUUCAUCAAUUGCCGUUAGAUCGGCGGGUCAACCUGUGUCAGUCUGACCGGAGAACGCACUGGAACUGCCGCCAGGGAGCAAGCGGCAACCGGCUCCACCAGCGCGCCUGACUAGCCGCCUUGUGUGUUGAUAAAGUCAUGAAGAACUGCGCUGGUAGGACUCGGCAGAUGGAAGCAGUGGCGUAUCGUCUUCCUCAACUCUUGCUUUUUUAAAUAAAACAUUAAAGAAACUUUAGCCAUUAUUGUGGCAAUUUUAAUUUUAGCUAAAAAAGCAGUUAGCAAAGUUAGCUGGCUGGCUGCCAGAGCCCGUCGCUCCCCACAGAGUCUACCUGUCAGAACCCCUAGCAACCAAUUACGUACUGGAGGCUUCCUAAAACUUGCUUUAACAACUCCAUUUUAUAUAGAAAGCAAAUUAUACGCACAUCGGUCAACAAUAAAUCCGGAUUAUAUUAAUAUAUUUUCUUAAAUACAUUUGAAUAAUAAAAAUAAACAAAAAAUGUAUUUUGAUUAAACUUGCCUGGGCGGGCCAGGGAGUUAUGUGGGCGGGCCAGUGCCGCCCUGGCCCAUUACUGGCUACGCCCCUGGUAUGACCGCUUGAUAUGAGAGACACAUCCUGUUUUAAAGGUGAUGUAUGCAUGUUACUUUCAAUGCUGGCAUUAAAAUAAUAGUUAUUUACUGUUUAAACAUUUUGUAAAUUGAAGUUUUUUGUGUUCUCAUUGUACUUUAUUUCUUUUAUAACAGGUGAGCUUUAUACUGUAAGCUUCAUUCCUUUUAUAACAGGUAAGCUUCAUACAGUUUUAAAUUAUGUAUUUAGAGGACUCUGCUUUAAAGUGUUAAAAAGCUAAUACAUGUAUAUUGUACAUUAAGUUUAUUAAACUAAUUAUCAGAAGAAUGUGGUAUAACUUCUUUAGUUUUUUUAUUGAUAUUUCAGAGUUUCGUAUGUGAAGUAAUCUUGCUGGGAGUGCGUAUGACCGCUUGAUAUGAAAGACAAAUCCUGUUUUUAAAGGUGGAUCGUGAGUGAAGCUCUGCAGGUCCGCCAUUGACUUGAUAACAGUGGUUUAUGUGAAUUGAGUGAAUUCAAUUUAUAAAUAAAUCUUUCACCAAGCAUUCACCUAUUUACUGACAAAACAGAUCUUGUUCGACCUGAUUCUCAACCUUGUAUGAUGAUGACCACUGCAAGGUGAUGGAAAUCUGUGGUAAUCACAGCCUGCGUCUCAAGAUCAACAUGACAACAGCAGACCAUCUUUUAUCUUACUCUUAUCUGACUAAAUGUUCAAUGUCACUGCCACAAAAGAAAGAACAUUGGAUGGAGUAUUGGAGUAUGUACUGUACAAUCAGCCAGCAAACAAAAUAUGGACUUUUUGUUAGCUUCUACAAACAUUGAGACAAUCCUAUUGACUUUUUUCACAGUUAAUAAUGCAUUAUAAACAUCCCAUUAAUUUGUAUUCUGUCAUCUAUCUGUUUGUGCUAAAAUGUAUACACCUGAAUGUAAUGUCAAUAAUAUGUUAAUAUUCAGUAUUUAUUAUCAUUUGCAUGUUUUGAUGUCGCAUAUGUCAUGAUUUUAAUGAUUUCAUGUAAUUGUUGUCUAUUUAGAAUGAUUGUCUUUGCCAAAUUUUAUUGUUAAUUUAUUUAAUAUUGAAUUUAACAUCCAUAUCUUAUUUGAGUAGUGAUUUGUUAUAUUUGCAUAAUAAUUCAUAUAUUUAUUUUGAUUGUGAAUUUAAUGCACAUAUU